rnacentral:rRNA from 1 species
UACGUAGGGUGCAAGCGUUGUCCGGAAUUAUUGGGCGUAAAGAGCGUGUAGGCGGCCCGAUUAGUCCGCUGUGAAAGUCCAGGGCUCAACCCUGGAAUGCCGGUGGAUACUGUCGGGCUAGAGUCCGGAAGGGGCGAGUGGAAUUCCUGGUGUAGCGGUGAAAUGCGCAGAUAUCAGGAGGAACACCAAUGGCGAAGGCAGCUCGCUGGGGACGUGACUGACGCUGAGACGCGAAAAGCGUGGGGGAGCAAAACAGG